GCCCCAGCUCACCUCUGCUCCGCCUCCUCCCCUGAAUGCUACACUCCGCCCCCGCUCCCCCUCUUCCCGCAAAUCAGCUGUUCGUGCGGGAAGCCUGGAAGGGCAGAGAAGCAAGUGGCAGCGUCGCACUCAGGUCCAGGGAGGCAGAGGCGGAAGGGAGGUGAGGUUAGCCCUUCCAGGCUUCCCGCACAAAUAGCUGAUUCGCAGGAAGGGGUGGGGGGAGGCUGAGAGCUCGGCUUGACCCAGUGCUCCAGGUGCUGCACGGCGGCGUCGUGGCCCGGCUCCAGCUGAGCGACGUGGCUAUAGCACCGCCAGCCACCUCCAGGCAGCACGAUGCAUAGAUUUUAAAGCCAGAAGACACCAUUAUCAUUAUCCAGUCUGACUGCCUACAAGACAAAGGCCAUAGGACUUGCCUGAAUUAACUCCCGCUUCAAGUCCAAUAGCUGUGGUUGAAUGAGAGCACAUCCUUUAGAAAAACAUGCAAUCCUGAUUUAAAGAUUUCUAGUAACAGAGACUCCAACACAUCUCUAGUUCUUCCAGGUCACUGACAAAAAUGUUAAACAGAAGAAUCGAUCCCUGUGGGAUUCCACCAGAGAAACACCCACUGGAUGAUGAUUCCUCACAUUUACAAUUUCAUUUUGAGAGCUAUCAGUGAGCUAUGUUUUAAUCCAUUUAAUGUGUUGCAUGUUCAUUUUGUAUCAUUCUAGUUUCUGAACAAAUUAAAAUACCACGUCAAGUGCCUUACAGAAGUCUAAGUAUGUUACAUUGACACUACUACUUUUAACUAAACUUGUAAUCUCAUCCAAAAAGAUAUCCAGUGAGAAAACAGAUUUUGUCACCCUAUAAACCCAUGUUGAUUGUCAUCAAUUAUAUUAUCCCUCAUCAAGUCUUUAAUCAUCAAGUCCCAUGUCAGUUGUUCUAUUAUUUUGCUCGAGAUCCAUGUCAGACUGACAGGCCUAUAAUUACUUGGUCAUCCCAUUUAUGCUUUUUAAAUACUAGCAUAACAUUAAUUUUCUUCCCAUCUUCUGGAACUUCCCAGUGUUCCAAGACUUAUUCAAAAUCAAUAGUAGGGGGCCAGAGAGCUCCCCAGCCAGCUCUUAAGAUUCUUGGAUGAAAAUUAUCCAGACCUGCUCAUUUAAAAAUGGCUAACUUUAGUAGCUGUUGUUUAACAUCUUCCUUAGUUACUGUUGGAAUGGAAAGUAUUUCAUCACAAUCAUAUGAUAUGAAAAUACCAUUUUACUUUCUUCCCCAAACAUAGAACAGAACUAUUUAUCAAACACACAUCUGCCUUUUCUGUGCAGUUAUUGACAAUGCCACUAUUUCCUCAAGUAAUGGACCAGUUAUCGUUGUAGGAUUUCUCUUGUUCCUAAUGUAUUUAAAAAUUCCUAUGGCAAGCAGAAAUAAAGGACAGUAAGAUUUCUUUGUGUUCUUUUGCUU